CCCGCCCGUACCCGGCGCGGAUCCACCGUUAAGCGAUGGACUUUCACACCGGACGCGACGAACCGCCUACGAGCCCUUUACGCCCAAUAAAUCCGGAUAACGCUUGCACCCUACGUAUUACCGCGGCUGCUGGCACGUAGUUAGCCGGUGCUUAUUCGAACAAUCCACUCAACACGGCCGAAACCGUGCCUUGCCCUUGAACAAAAGCGGUUUACAACCCGAAGGCCUCCAUCCCGCACGCGGCGUCGCUGCAUCAGGCUUGCGCCCAUUGUGCAAUAUUCCCCACUGCUGCCUCCCGUAGGAGUCUGGGCCGUAUCUCAGUCCCAAUGUGGCCGGUCGCCCUCUCAGGCCGGCUACCCGUCAACGCCUUGGUAGGCCGUUACCCCACCAACAAGCUGAUAGGACGCGACCCCAUCCCAUGCCGCAAAAGCCUUUCCCACACUCGCAUGCGCUCAUGUGGAACAUCCGGCAUUACCACCCGUUUCCAGGAGCUAUUCCGGUGCAUGGGGCAGGUCGGUCACGCAUUACUCACCCGUUCGCCACUCUCACCCCGGCAGCAAGCUGCCAGGGAUCCCGUUCGACUUGCAUGUGUUAAGCACGCCGCCAGCGUUCAUCCUGAGCCAGAAUCGAACCCUCCACAAAAAAACCUUCAUGGAAAGCCAACAAACGGCUCUCAAAAAGAAAAAAGACGGACCAUCCCUUAAGGAAAGGACGGUCACACAAAAACCCCGACACCCAUCAAACCCCCCUCGGGUACCACACGGGCGGGCAUCGGACUGGCAAUCAAGAACCACAAGCCACACCCACACGGAUGCGACCCAUGGCAAGUAGUACAGUACACACUAUUGAGUUCUCAAACCACCAAACACAGCCAGCGAACACACCGGGAACCAACCCCAGCCGCUCACCAACCGGCAGCAAGAUGAAUAACUUACACGAACCCCAACCAAAACGCAAACCCACCCCAACCACACACCCACAAAACCCAACAACCACAACACCUCCACCGGCGUGUCGCAAUCACGCUACGCCCACGUCAUACAACUCGACCCACUCCCCACAGCCGCACUGAACUGGGCC
rnacentral:rRNA from 1 species